UGCAGUCGAACGGUAACAGCAGAGCUUGCUCUGGCUGACGAGUGGCGCACGGGUGCGUAACGCGUAUACAAUCUACCUAUUACUGGAGUAUAGCCCGAAGAAAUUUGGAUUAAUCCUCCAUAGUAUUAUGGAAUGGCAUCAUUUUAUAAUUAAAACUACGGUGGUAAUAGAUGAGUAUGCGUCCUAUUAGUUUGUUGGUAAGGUAACGGCUUACCAAGGCAUCGAUAGGUAGGGGUCCUGAGAGGGAGAUCCCCCACACUGGUACUGGGNNANCCCCNNNNNGNNNNNAGANCNNNCNAGACUCCUACGGGAGGCAGCAGUGAGGAAUAUUGGACAAUGGAGGAGACUCUGAUCCAGCCAUGCCGCGUGCAGGAAGACUGCCCUAUGGGNUUGUAAACUGCUUUUAUAGAGGAAGAAACCUCCCUACGUGUAGGGAGCUGACGGUACUCUACGAAUAAGGAUCGGCUAACUCCGUGCCAGCAGCCGCGGUAAUACGGAGGAUCCAAGCGUUAUCCGGAAUCAUUGGGUUUAAAGGGUCCGUAGGCGGGCAGUUAAGUCAGUGGUGAAAGUCUUCCGCUCAACGGGAGAAUUGCCAUUGAUACUGAUUGUCUUGAGUCAUUAUGAAGUGGUUAGAAUGAGUAGUGUAGCGGUGAAAUGCAUAGAUAUUACUCAGAAUACCGAUUGCGAAGGCAGAUCACUAAUAAUGUACUGACGCUGAUGGACGAAAGCGUAGGUAGCGAACAGGAUUAGAUACCCUGGUAGUCUACGCCGUAAACGAUGGUUACUAGCUGUUUGGACGAUUGAGUCUGAGUGGCUAAGCGAAAGUGAUAAGUAACCCACCUGGGGAGUACGUUCGCAAGAAUGAAACUCAAAGGAAUUGACGGGGGCCCGCACAAGCGGUGGAGCAUGUGGUUUAAUUCGAUGAUACGCGAGGAACCUUACCAGGGCUUAAAUGCAGUCUGACGUAUCUGGAAACAGAUAUUUCUUCGGACAGAUUGCAAGGUGCUGCAUGGUUGUCGUCAGCUCGUGCCGUGAGGUGUCAGGUUAAGUCCUAUAACGAGCGCAACCCCUGUGGUUAGUUGCCAGCGAGUAAUGUCGGGAACUCUAGCCAGACUGCCGGUGCAAACCGCGAGGAAGGUGGGGAUGACGUCAAAUCAUCACGGCCCUUACGUCCUGGGCUACACACGUGCUACAAUGGUAGGGACAGAGAGCAGCCACUGGGCGACCAGGAGCGAAUCUACAAACCCUAUCACAGUUCGGAUCGCAGUCUGCAACUCGACUGCGUGAAGCUGGAAUCGCUAGUAAUCGCAUAUCAGCCAUGAUGCGGUGAAUACGUUCCCGGGCCUUGUACACACCGCCCGUCAAGCCAUGGAAGCUGGGGGUACCUGAAGUCCGUUACCGCAAGGAGCGGCCU
rnacentral:rRNA from 1 species